rnacentral:rRNA from 1 species
AUAUCAAUAAGCGGAGGAAAAGAAACCAACAGGGAUUGCCCUAGUAACGGCGAGUGAAGCGGCAACAGCUCAAAUUUGAAAUCGGACUCUUUCAGGGUUUGAAUUGUAAUUUGUAGAGGAUGUUUUGGUAAAGCACUGGUCUAAGUUCCUUGGAAUAGGAUAUCACAGAGGGUGAGAAUCCCGUUUGUGGCUGGAUGUGUCUACCAUGCAAAACUCCUUCAACGAGUCGAGUUGUUUGGGAAUGCAGCUCUAAAUGGGAGGUAAAUUUCUUCUAAAGCUAAAUACCUGCCAGAGACCGAUAGCGCACAAGUA